rnacentral:lncRNA from 1 species
GUUGUAGUGGUUUUAGACUCCUACACAGUACAGGUUUAAAUGUUCUAGUGGUAUUAGACUCCUACACAGUACAGGUUUAAAUGUUCUAGUGGUUUUAGACUCCUACACAGUACAGGUUUAAAUGUUGUAGUGGUUUUAGACUCCUACACAGUACAGGUUUAAAUGUUCUAGUGGUUAUAGACUCCUACACAGUACAGGUUUACAUGUUCUAGUGGUUAUAGACUCCUACACAGUACAGGUUUAAAUGUUGUAG